UGGUGGAGUGAUUUGUCUGGUUAAUUCCGUUAACGAACGAGACCUCGACCUGCUAAAUAGUUUGGCGAAUUCCCUGUGGAUUCCCACAUAACUUCUUAGAGGGACUAUCGGUUCGCAGCCGGUGGAAGUUCGAGGCAAUAACA
rnacentral:rRNA from 1 species